CGCAGAAGUGGGGUUGCGAAUUACGAUCGAAAGGCGCAAGCAGCUUCAGGCGAUCGACUUCGACCGAUUCUCAUUCGCGGAAGAUCAAAAAUCAACCAAAAUCAACCAAGCUUUUGAAUUUGAGGUUGAAAUUGUGAGAGAAAUCAGCCUUUGAUUUGCUACGGUCUUCAAUCUCCUUCAAUCGCGAAGCUCUGGGUUCGUUCUUCCGUCUCUCCAACAACGCAGAUGGUACUAGAUGGGGACCAGGGUUGAGGCAAGUGACGGAGACCACCGGAACUACCUGUCGGUCGAGGUAAGAAAUCCAAGGUAUCACAUUCAAAUGUUGCUGGUUCAGGCCUUUCUAAGGAUGAUGAUGAUUUCGUGACCCCAUCUUUAGCGGUCCUUGCAAGGUUGCAACAAUACCAUGUGUGGAAUGCCCCAGAUUAUUAACUCAUUACGAAGGAGGCUGUUAGAUUUCCUAGGGUGAACUUUACUGAUCUUGGAUUAGGCUUUUUGUUCGUAUAGGUUAGUUUUUUGGCAAUUACAAUAUCAUUGCACGUACUGUGUCUAUUCGGUCUUUUGUAGGCAUAUUUAAUUCGUAAUGUUAUUUCCCUUUGUAUUGAUUAGUGAUUAAAUCAUCUUCCGUACAUGUAUGUGGUCUCCAUUUUUGUACAUAAUGUAGUUAUGUGGGUGCGCAGUGUUCAUGUAUCCCUAUGAAAUAAUGAAUGUAUCAUUUGGUUCAUUA